rnacentral:lncRNA from 1 species
AUGAUGACUUUCCUAAAAUAGCAUUUUUUUAAAAAAACUAUUUUAAAAUAGAACCUAUUGAUAAAAAAUUUUAAAUGAAUUCUCAUCUAUAUACAAAAACUUUUGUUACCCUAAUUUCUCAAUCACAAUCCAAAAUCUAAAAUAUUUCUCUGUAAAAAUGAUGACUUUCCUAAAAUAGCAAUUCUUAAAAAAAUAUUUAAAAAUCAAACCUAUUGAUCAACUAUUCUAAAAGAAUUCCCAUCUAUCAACAAAAACUCUUGUUAUCCUAAUUUCUCAAUCACAAUCCCAAAUCUAUAAUAUUUCUCUAAAAAAUGAUGACUUUCCUAAAAUAUCAGUUUUUACAAAAUUUAUUUAA